rnacentral:rRNA from 1 species
AAAUUGAAGAGUUUGAUCAUGGCUCAGAUUGAACGCUGGCGGCAGGCCUAACACAUGCAAGUCGAACGGUAACAGGAAGCAGCUUGCUGCUUUGCUGACGAGUGGCGGACGGGUGAGUAAUGUCUGGGAAACUGCCUGAUGGAGGGGGAUAACUACUGGAAACGGUGGCUAAUACCGCAUAACGUCGCAAGACCAAAGAGGGGGACCUUCAGGCCUCUUGCCAUCAGAUGUGCCCAGAUGGGAUUAGCUUGUUGGUGAGGUAACGGCUCACCAAGGCGACGAUCCCUAGCUGGUCUGAGAGGAUGACCAGCCACACUGGAACUGAGACACGGUCCAGACUCCUACGGGAGGCAGCAGUGGGGAAUAUUGCACAAUGGGCGCAAGCCUGAUGCAGCCAUGCCGCGUGUAUGAAGAAGGCCUUCGGGUUGUAAAGUACUUUCAGCGGGGAGGAAGGUGUUGUGGUUAAUAACCGCAGCAAUUGACGUUACCCGCAGAAGAAGCACCGGCUAACUCCGUGCCAGCAGCCGCGGUAAUACGGAGGGUGCAAGCGUUAAUCGGAAUUACUGGGCGUAAAGCGCACGCAGGCGGUCUGUCAAGUCGGAUGUGAAAUCCCCGGGCUCAACCUGGGAACUGCAUUCGAAACUGGCAGGCUUGAGUCUUGUAGAGGGGGGUAGAAUUCCAGGUGUAGCGGUGAAAUGCGUAGAGAUCUGGAGGAAUACCGGUGGCGAAGGCGGCCCCCUGGACAAAGACUGACGCUCAGGUGCGAAAGCGUGGGGAGCAAACAGGAUUAGAUACCCUGGUAGUCCACGCCGUAAACGAUGUCUACUUGGAGGUUGUGCCCUUGAGGCGUGGCUUCCGGAGCUAACGCGUUAAGUAGACCGCCUGGGGAGUACGGCCGCAAGGUUAAAACUCAAAUGAAUUGACGGGGGCCCGCACAAGCGGUGGAGCAUGUGGUUUAAUUCGAUGCAACGCGAAGAACCUUACCUGGUCUUGACAUCCACGGAAGAAUUCAGAGAUGGAUUUGUGCCUUCGGGAACCGUGAGACAGGUGCUGCAUGGCUGUCGUCAGCUCGUGUUGUGAAAUGUUGGGUUAAGUCCCGCAACGAGCGCAACCCUUAUCCUUUGUUGCCAGCGGUCCGGCCGGGAACUCAAAGGAGACUGCCAGUGAUAAACUGGAGGAAGGUGGGGAUGACGUCAAGUCAUCAUGGCCCUUACGACCAGGGCUACACACGUGCUACAAUGGCGCAUACAAAGAGAAGCGACCUCGCGAGAGCAAGCGGACCUCAUAAAGUGCGUCGUAGUCCGGAUUGGAGUCUGCAACUCGACUCCAUGAAGUCGGAAUCGCUAGUAAUCGUGGAUCAGAAUGCCACGGUGAAUACGUUCCCGGGCCUUGUACACACCGCCCGUCACACCAUGGGAGUGGGUUGCAAAAGAAGUAGGUAGCUUAACCUUCGGGAGGGCGCUUACCACUUUGUGAUUCAUGACUGGGGUGAAGUCGUAACAAGGUAACCGUAGGGGAACCUGCGGUUGGAUCACCUCCUUACCUUAAAGAAGC